AGUGAAAGCUCGGGGUAGGCCUAACACAUGUAAGUCGAACCGCCGCUCAGUACGAGUUUGCUCUUCUGGGAGGCGAGUGGAGGACGGGCGCGGAAAAACUUGGACUAUACUUUAAAGUGGGGGAUAACGUCGGGCAAACUAAGCUAAUUCAUCAUACGACCUACGGGUGAAACAAGGGGCUCUUCCGACCUCGCGCGAUCCAAAGAGUCGAAGUCUGAUUAGCUAGUUUGCCGGGUAAAGGCACACCAAGCCGACGAUCCGUAGCCGGUCUGAGAUGAUAAUCAGCCACACUGGAACUGAGACACGGUCCAGACUCCUACGGGAGGCAGCAGUGAGGAAUAUUGGACAAUGGGCGCAGACCUGAUCCAGCCAUACCGCAUGCGUCAAUAAGGCCUUCGGGUUGUAAAACCCUUUUGUUCGGAAAGAAAAGCAGCAGGUUAGUACCCCGCUGUUCUGACGGUACCCUAAGAAUAAGCACCGGCUGACUUCGUG
rnacentral:rRNA from 1 species